GCCGGGUUCACCGAGAGGCAAAUAGCUUCCAUCAGCUCCAAGUAUGGACUGGAUGUUGGGAGGGUUCGCGGUUUCGUCGACAAUGCCAACAGAAUUCUCGAGGUGAGGAAAGAGUUUGGAUCGUUGGACAAGUAUCUAUGGGGCUUCGUUAACCACAAGCCAAUCACUACCAAUUACAAGUUCGGCCGCAAGAUCCCUGUCAAGACGUCGAAGUCUGAGUUCAUCAGCAAGGACCUCGUCCGCCGCGGCUUCCGUUUCGUCGGCCCUACAGUAAUUCACUCAUUCAUGCAGGCUGCUGGCCUAACCAACGACCACCUCAUCUCCUGCCCCCGCCACCAUCACUGUGCUGCCCUCGCCUCCACCACCACCACCCAUUGACCCUAU
rnacentral:misc_RNA from 1 species